rnacentral:rRNA from 1 species
AACGUAGGAGACUAGCGUUAUCCGGAUUUACUGGGCGUAAAGCGUGUGCAGGCGGUUCGGCAAGUUGGAUGUGAAAUCUCCCGGCUCAACUGGGAGGGGUCGUUCAAUACUACCGAACUUGAGGGCAUCAGAGGAAGGUGGAAUUCCGGGUGUAGUGGUGAAAUGCGUAGAUAUCCGGAGGAACACCAGUGGCGAAGGCGGCCUUCUGGGAUGAUCCUGACGCUCAGACACGAAAGCUAGGGGAGCGAACGGG